UACGUAGGUGGCAAGCGUUUGUCCGGAUUUAUUGGGUUUAAAGGGUGCGUAGGCGGUCCUAUAAGUCAGUGCUGAAAUAUCCCGGCUUAACCGGGAGGGUGGCAUUGAUACUGCAGGACUUGAGUGAAGUCGAAGUAGGCGGAAUUGACGGUGUAGCGGUGAAAUGCUUAGAUAUCGUCAAGAACACCGAUAGUGAAGACAGCUUACUAGACUUCAACUGACGCUGAGGCACGAAAGUGUGGGGAUCAAACAGG
rnacentral:rRNA from 1 species